AUGACACCUAAAGUAAAAUCCUUACUACAAGCCAGGAAUGCAGCGUACAGAACCGGUGACACCAAUGCAUACUGCACGGCAAGAUCCGACCUGAAGAAAGGCAUCAGUUCUGCCAAGCAAGCAUACAUGACCCACAUUGAAGCUCAGUUCAACAGCGCCUCAUGCCCCCGGCAGGUGUGGGAGGGCGUCAGGGCAAUAACGGACUACAAGGGAAGAACAUCCCCCCCAGUCAACAGCAGCGCCCCCCUAGCGGAGGAGUUAAACAUCUUUUAUGCACGUUUUGACAGGAACAACAAGGACCCGGUGUCGCCCCCUCUCCCCUCUGACGGCUCCACCCUAGUCCUGAGCACUCAUCAGGACAGAAUCAUCCUACGCAACAUCAACAUCAGGAAGGCAGAAGGCCCAGAUGGAGUCCAGGGACGGGUGCCCAAGGACUGUGCGGCUGAACUAGCUCCAGUUCUCACCACCAUCAUUAACCUGUCUCUGGCCUCAUCCUGGGUCCCAGGAUGUCUCAAGGCAGCAACAAUUGUCCCGGUUCCCAAGAAACCAAAUAUUGCAGGUCUGAACAACUACAGACCUGUGGCACUCACCCCUUUCGUCGCAAAAUGCUUUGAGAAACUAGUCAUGAAACACAUUAAAGCCUCCAUAACGCCAUCAUUAGAUCAUGAUCAGUUUGCUUACCGGAAGAACAGGUCAACAGAGGAUGCCAUUGCCAUUGUGUUACACACUCUACUAGAUCAUCUUGAGCACAAUAACACAUAUGGGCGACUCCUUUUUGUUGACUUUAGUUCAGCUUUCAACACUAUCCUGCCUAACAAGCUACACAGCAAACUACACAAACUUGGCCUGAACACCACAUUAUGCAAUUGGAUUUUGGACUUUCUAACCCACCGCACACAACAUGUCAGGAUUGGCAAGCAUGUCUCCCCCACCCUGCCCAUGAACACUGUGGCCCCCCAGGGUUGCGUGCUCAGCCCACUUCUCUACACACUUUUCACUCACGACUGCUGCUCCUCUUCUCCAUCUAACCUCCUGGUGAAAUUUGCUGACGACACAACAGUACUUGGCCUCAUCACAGGAAAUGAUGAGACCCCAUACAGGAGGGAGGCCGAGAGACUGGUAGAGUGGUGCGGUGAUCACAACCUGGUUCUCAACACCACCAAGACCAAGGAAGUGAUCAUCGAUUUCCGCAGGGCCAGACACCUCAGCCACUCUCCACUCCUAAUCGGAGGGGAGGAGGUAGAGAGGGUGUCCAACUUCAAGUUUCUGGGCGUGACUGUGGCCGACGAUCUGUCCUGGAGGACCAACAUCACCUCUGCCGUGGGUAAGGCACAACAACGCCUCUUCUACCUUCGGAAACUAAAAAGGGCAAAACUUCCACAGGGACUGAUGGUCAAAUUCUAUCACUGCGCAGUAGAGAAUGUACUCACCUACAGACUACUGGUGUGGUUCUCCAGCUGCACCAGGGCCGAAAAGGAGGCCCUCCACAGAGUGGUCAAGGCUGCGGGGAGGAUCAUUGGGAAGAGCCUCCCAGAGAUCUCCACAGUCUUCACCUCCCGCUGCCUACGCCGGGUGAACAACAUCCUAAAGGACCAGGUCCACCCAGCGCACCAUCUCUUCCAGCGACUGCCCUCUGGACGAGAUACCGUUCCAUCCGCUCCAGGUCCAGCAGACUGA
rnacentral:lncRNA from 1 species